rnacentral:rRNA from 1 species
GACGAACCGUGCGAGCGUUAUUCGGAAUCACUGGGCUUAAAGCGCGUGUAGGCGGAUGGGGACGUCGGUCGCUGAAAUCCCCCGGCUCAACCGGGGAACUGGCCCCGAAACGCCCCGUCUGGAGGAACGUAGGGGGACCUGGAACUUCCGGUGGAGCGGUGAAAUGCGUUGAGAUCGGAAGGAACGCCCGUGGCGAAAGCGAGGUCCUGGACGUUUUCUGACGCUGAGACGCGAAAGCCAGGGGAGCAAACGGG